AAUGGAGGAUUGAUGUCUUUGUUGUGAUCCUGAUAUAUUUGUAUGUUUUGAUGCACUUUGUGCUCAUAGACUUUAUAUUGUGUUUGAUUAGUAGUUCCAUAAGUUCUAUGGAUUAGUAUAGUGAUGGAAUUCAUUCUGGAACAGGACAUCAUGACUUUAUAUGGUAAGUUACAUUUUGUACUCUUUGAGGUGUCUUGGAUGAACUGGAUCCUUAACUUUGAAAUGAAUGUGUAUUACAUUCAUUUUGGUAGGAUUCCCAGCCUUAUGAAAGAGUGUGCUUUGAGUGUUGUUUGAAUCUGAUUUAUUUGAGAGAUUUUAGUAUAAAUGUUAGGCAGCAACCAUUUGAUUUUCUGGGGGGGCUAUGGUUUUUUUUGGAAAAAAAAGUUUGUUUCCAGUUUUUGGAGAAAAAAAUAAUUUGUUUUUGAUUCUGAGAAAAAAAAAUUGUUUGUUUCACCCUCAGCUGCCACUAUAUGUAAUGCUAAAAUUGAAAGAAAAAAAUUGUUUUCGACUUGUUGCGAAAAAAAUAGAUUGUUUUUCGCCGCAGGCGAAAAAAAAAAUUUGUCCAGAAAAAAAAACCAUAGCCCCCCCCCCCCAGAAAAUAAAAUGGUUGCUGCCUUAGAAAGAGAGAUUUAAUCUAUUUUUAUGAAUGACCUUGACCUUUUGUCAUGUAGUCAUGAAAUGACAUUGGUAUAUCCAAUGUGAUGUAAUUAACAGUACAAUUGUACUUGUACUUAAUGUUUUUAGUAUUGAAAUAAGAUUACUUACUUAUAAUUGUGAAUUCGAAAUGAAAGAUAAAGAUUAGUAAAGUUUAUUAUGAAUUGUAUAAUGCCUUUAAGAUAUUAAAGUCAGAUUACUUAUUAUUGUCAUACAUUGUUUACAGAACCAUAUUUGAUGUGAACCUCUGUUACCAUUACUGUAGAAGUAUGAAGAUCGUUACUGUUAGUAUUAGUUAGACUGUCGAUGUUAGUUAUUAAACUCAGUUCCACAGACUGGUGAGUUUAUGUAUACUUGAAAUAGCAUAAUAUAUAGUGUUCAUGUAAGACAGUGAAGAACAUUUGAUAUAAUAUAGAGUUAUCUACCGUUGAUAUAUAUAUGCUAUGGUUAUUUGUAGAAUAUGGAUUUACAUAUAUCUAUUUGGUUAAUUGAAAUAGUGUUAUAUGAUCUUGACAUUAUAGUAGUAUGUUUAAUUGUCAAAGCUGAUGAUUUUAUAUGAACGAUGAGUGAAUAUUUGCAAGUGUUAAUUAUCAUCAGGCAUGUCAUGUCACCUUGUGUAUUGAUAUUGUAUAAGAACUAUAAACAUUCAAUGUUCUGAUUUUAUGUUGAUCUGCAGUAAUGUUAUAAUA
rnacentral:lncRNA from 1 species